rnacentral:rRNA from 1 species
GUUUGUCAUUUUAUAAUGGCAGAACUUUUAGAGAAAUCAUAGUUCUUGGGCUCUGGGGGAACUACGACCGCAAGGCUGAAACUUGAAGGAAUUGACGGAAGGGCACACCAGGGGUGGAGCCUGUGGCUUAAUUUGAAUCAACACGGGGAAACUUACCAGGACCAGAUGUUUUUUAUGACUGACAGGCUUCGGGUCUUUCAGGAUAUUGCUUUUGGUGGUGCAUGGCCGUUGGUGGUGCGUGGGUUGACCUGUCUAGCGUUGAUUCAGCUAACGAGCGAGAUUAUCGCCAAUUAUAUA